UACGUAGGGGGCUAGCGUUGUCCGGAAUCAUUGGGCGUAAAGCGCGUGUAGGCGGCCCGGUAAGUCCGCUGUGAAAGUCGGGGGCUCAACCCUCGGAUGCCGGUGGAUACUGUCGGGCUGGAGUGCGGAAGAGGCGAGUGGAAUUCCUGGUGUAGCGGUGAAAUGCGCAGAUAUCAGGAAGAACACCCGUGGCUAAGGCGGUUCUCUAGUACGGUACUGACGCUGAGACGCGAAAGCGUGGGGAGCGAACAGG
rnacentral:rRNA from 1 species